GAGAGAGAGAGAGAGAGAGAGCACGUGGGCUUAGGUAAGGUGACGAUGAAUGGGUAUAAAUAUUUUCUGGGUUAUAAGCCGUGCGGGAAUGAUUAGGUCGUAAUUGGAGCCUUUGCUGUAAAAAAAGUUAUUAAGAAAAAAUCGUCUGGUCCUUCAAUCCAUAGGGGAAGAAUUCUUGUAAUGGAGAAAUAAUCAUGCUUCUCUUUCUCUUUUUCUUCUUCUUUUUUCACUUCUAUCUAUGCUCUUUCUCUUCUUUUUAUUAAUCAUAAAUUGAUGGACUAUCUAUUUUUCUUUUUUCUCAAAGAAAAAGCAUGGCAAAAGGUAAAAUUUCAAGCAUUCCAUUGAAAAUGUUGGUUAUGAAAAAGCUGCGAAACGCUUUCUUCAGCAUGUAAUACAGAAGCUUUGUUCCGGGUCCUUAGUAUUCUUGUCAUUUUCGAAAACAAAAAAAUUUUGUUCUUACUACCGAU
rnacentral:misc_RNA from 1 species